UGGACUUAGUCUUGUUAUCUUACAUUGAGAGUCCAUGAGAGAGGCCUAUCAUAGGUUACAUGAACGCUGAUAAGGGAACAACUGAAAAAAUGUGGAGUCAGAUGAGGGGACUAUGUUUCAUGAAGCUAUUACAAGAUUGUUGUUGACUGUUGAAUGCACUUGAUGGGCAGUGGACUGACAGAGGAAUCUGGCAGUAACCCAUCAGAGGCUGCUGCUGACAACAACUCUAUACCCAGCGGGCAACAACCCCUACUGUACUGUUCCAUAACGCCACAGAGUUGGUACCAAGAUUGACGU